UUAAAUUUAAUAAGACAGAGCUAAAGGUUUAAGCAAGUUACAGGAAGACAAAAAUUAAUCUUGCAAAAAUGUAUAAACAUUAACUAAAUUCAAAAGGGUAUUAUAUGGUCUUUUCCUAAAUUGAGCAUUGAAAGAAAAACACGGCAAGGCUGUCUUAAGACACUAAUCUGCCGUUUAACAAAAGGGGUUGUAAAGGGUUUGUAAAGACUUCACCCCAUGGUCAUUGGUUAAGAUUAGGUGAACUUUCCUAUGAGGUUUUAUCAAAAGGUUGUUUACAACUUUAAUAAACUAAUACAAGGGUAAAAUUUGGCUUUAAACAGGAUUUUCAUGUAAUAGUAAAGGAUGAUGAAAGAUUUUUUCCUUUUGUGACAUCAUUUUGGCAAAAUAAAUAAUGGCAAUUUGGAAUUCUAUUUCAUAACAUCAAGUGUUUUAAACCUCUAACAUUUAAAAGGCAUCCCAAAAUCAAGCUUCAAGUUUCAAAAUUGUCCUUCCUGAUGCCUGGCUUUCUGGAUUGUUCAGAAGGCCCCUGAAACAUCCAGAGAAGAGGACACAAAUGGAAAAACUGGCUAUUUUAUCAAGGCUUUGACUGGAAGUGUAUGCUUCCCUUUAAGGAGUCAACCUCCACUUGCAGAGCUGAAAAAGCCCCAUGGGAAGAACUGGCCUCAUACCUUGUCUACACAGUCCCCGCACAGGGUUCCUAACCUUUGGUCAGUAAAGAAUGUCACUUUCUAACAGGUCCAGGAGCUCCAAGUUUAUCUUGGGACCUUAAGAGAAAAGGAUCACCCAACUCACAGGUAUUUGAAGAUACAAACCCAUGCUGGGCUCAGCUUUAAGAAGUCUUAUCUGAGAUUUCUUGUGGAACAGAGUUCCAUCGAAGCCAAUCCAAAAGGACUAUGCAGAAAUAAUUACUCUUGCUGAACUUUAUGCAAAUAACAAGGCCAAAUAUAAGACUAAGGUUUAUUCUACAAACAACACGGUCCUAUCAUAAUUUGUUUUUACCAAAAUCAGGACUAGAGAGAGAAAAUAUGCUCCAAAGCUUAUCAUACAUUUGUCAUUAAAUCCUAGUCACAUUAAUUGUUUUUAAGUUGUGUGCCUACAUUUUAGACUAACACUGCUUAUUCCUGUGAAUCAAGUGGUGAUCUCCUGAAGCUUACAAGAAACAAAAAGAGAUGGGUAACACAAAAAUCUGGAUACCUUGGCAAAUAAAAUUUUAGAUGGAAAGUAUCUACUACACCACACUUGUGGGAAUUGCUAUACUCACUCUACUAUUUGCAGUAGGGUUAUACAUGGCAGUGUGUCUGGAAUUGGUGGAUUCUUGGUCUCAUUGACUUCAAGAAUGAAGCCACAGACCCUCACAGUGAGUGUUACAGUUCUUCAAGGCGGCAUGUCCAGAGUUUGUUCCUUCUGAUGUUCGGAUGUGUUCGGAGUUUCUUCCUUCUGGUGGGUUCGUGCUCUCGCUGGCUUAGGAGUGAA
rnacentral:lncRNA from 1 species